rnacentral:rRNA from 1 species
AGCGAACGCUGGCGGCAGGCCUAACACAUGCAAGUCGAACGAUCCUUCGGGAUAGUGGCGGACGGGUGAGUAACACGUGGGAACGUGCCCUUUGGUUCGGAACAACUCAGGGAAACUUGAGCUAAUACCGAAUGUGCCCUUCGGGGGAAAGAUUUAUCGCCAUUGGAGCGGCCCGCGUCUGAUUAGCUAGUUGGUGAGGUAAUGGCUCACCAAGGCGACGAUCAGUAGCUGGUCUGAGAGGAUGAUCAGCCACAUUGGGACUGAGACACGGCCCAAACUCCUACGGGAGGCAGCAGUGGGGAAUCUUGCGCAAUGGGCGAAAGCCUGACGCAGCCAUGCCGCGUGAAUGAUGAAGGUCUUAGGAUUGUAAAAUUCUUUCACCGGGGACGAUAAUGACGGUACCCGGAGAAGAAGCUCCGGCUAACUUCGUGCCAGCCGCCGCCGCGGUAA